GAUGAACGCUGGCGGCGUGCUUAACACAUGCAAGUCGAACGGUGAAGGCGGAGCUUGCUCUGCUGGAUCAGUGGCGAACGGGUGAGUAACACGUGAGCAAUCUGCCCCUGACUCUGGGAUAAGCGCUGGAAACGGCGUCUAAUACUGGAUACGAGCUGCGAAGGCAUCUUCAGCAGCUGGAAAGAAUUUCGGUCAGGGAUGAGCUCGCGGCCUAUCAGCUUGUUGGUUGGGUAAUGGCUCACCAAGGCGUCGACGGGUAGCCGGCUUGGAAGGGUGACCGGCCAGACUGGAACUGAGAAACGCCCCGCCCUCCUCCGGAGGGCAGCGGGGGGAAUAUUGCACAAUGGGCGAAAGCCUGAUGCAGCAACGCCGCGUGAGGGACGACGGCCUUCGGGUUGUAAACCUCUUUUAGCAGGGAAGAAGCGAAAGUGACGGUACCUGCAGAAAAAGCGCCGGCUAACUACGUG
rnacentral:rRNA from 1 species